rnacentral:rRNA from 1 species
UACGUAGGGUGCGAGCGUUGUCCGGAAUUAUUGGGCGUAAAGGGCUCGUAGGCGGUUUGUCACGUCGGGAGUGAAAACUCGGGGCUUAACCCCGAGCCUGCUUCCGAUACGGGCAGACUAGAGGCAUGCAGGGGAGAACGGAAUUCCUGGUGUAGCGGUGAAAUGCGCAGAUAUCAGGAGGAACACCGGUGGCGAAGGCGGUUCUCUGGGCCGUAACUGACGCUGAGGAGCGAAAGCGUGGGGAGCGAACAGG